rnacentral:misc_RNA from 1 species
GCAAACUUGGUCAUUUAGAGGAAGUAAAAGUCGUAACAAGGUCUCCGUUGGUGAACCAGCGGAGGGAUCAUUAGAGAGUAUAACAACUCCCAAACCCAUGUGAACCUUACCUCUCGUUGCCUCGGCGGAGAGAGGGUACCCCGUACGGGCUACCCGGGUCUAACCACCCGGCAGUCCAGGGUCGCCCUCCCGCCGCCGCUGGCCCACGAAACUCUGUUUUAUUUUGGAACUCUGAAUUACAAAGCAAAUAAGUUAAAACUUUCAACAACGGAUCUCUUGGUUCUGGCAUCGAUGAAGAACGCAGC